rnacentral:piRNA from 1 species
UGAGAGUUCGACUGCCAUGGUUAAUGUGAA